GGGUGACCGGCCACAUUGGGACUGAGACACGGCCCAAACUCCUACGGGAGGCAUCAGCUAAGAAUCUUCCGCAAUGGGCGCAAGCCUGACGGAGCGACGCCGCGUGGACGAAGAAUGCCGAGAGGUUGUAAAGUCCUUUUAUUAGCGAAGAAUAAUGCCUGUAGGUAAUGACAGGCAGAUGACGUUAGCUUAUGAAUAAGCUCCGGCCAAUUACGUGCCAGCAGCCGCGGUAACACGUAAGGAGCGAGCGUUGUUCGGAAUUAUUGGGCGUAAAGGGCAUGUAGGCGGUCAUAUAAGUCUGGUGUGAAAGGCUACAGCUUAACUGUGGAAACGCACUGGAAACUGUAUGACUUGAAUCAGAGAGGGGUAACUGGAAUUCCUAGUGUAGGGGUGAAAUCUGUUGAUAUUAGGAAGAACACCGAUGGCGAAGGCAAGUUACUGGCUCAUGAUUGACGCUGAGAUGCGAAAGCGUAGGGAGCGAACAGGAUUAGAUACCCUGGUAGUCUACGCUGUAAACGAUGUGCACUUGGUGUCGGGGUUCUAAGCCUCGGUGCCGUAGCUAACGCGUUAAGUGCACCGCCUGGUGAGUAUGCCGGCAACGGUGAAACUCAAGGAAUUGACGGGGGCCCGCACAAGCGGUGGAGCAUGUGGUUUAAUUCGAUAUACGCGAGAAACCUUACCAGGGUUUGACAUAUUUAUGAUCGGCGUAGAGAUACGCAAUUCCCUUCGGGGACAUUUAUACAGGUGCUGCAUGGUUGUCGUCAGCUCGUGCCGUGAGGUGUUGGGUUAAGUCCCGCAGCGAGCGCAACCCCUAUUGUCUGUUACCAUCAUUAAGUUGGGGACUCAGGCAAGACUGCCGGUGACAAACCGGAGGAAGGUGGGGACGACGUCAAAUCAUCAUGGCCCUUAUAUCCUGGGCUACACACGUGCUACAAUGGCCGGUACAGAGUGACGCGAAGCAGUGAUGUGGAGCAAAACGCAGAAAGCCGGUCUCAGUUCGGAUUGGAGUCUGAAACUCGACUCCAUGAAGGUGGAAUCGCUAGUAAUCGCGCAUCAGCAUGGCGCGGUGAAUACGUUCCCGGGCCUUGUACACACCGCCCGUCACACCACCCGAGUUGGGGGUACCCGAAGUCACUAGUCUAACCAGCAAUGGAGGACGGUGCCGAAGGUAUGCCUGGUAAGGGGGGUGAAGUCGGAACAAGGUA
rnacentral:rRNA from 1 species